CCUACGGGUGGCAGCAGUAGGGAAUCUUCCACAAUGGGCGAAAGCCUGAUGGAGCAACGCCGCGUGGGUGAAGAAGGUCUUCGGAUCGUAAAACCCUGUUGUUAGAGAAGAAAGUGCGUGAGAGUAACUGUUCACGUUUCGACGGUAUCUAACCAGAAAGCACCGGCUAACUACGUGCCAGCAGCCGCGGUAAUACGUAGGUGGCAAGCGUUAUCCGGAUUUAUUGGGCGUAAAGCGAACGCAGGCGGUCUUUUAAGUCUGAUGUGAAAGCCUUGGGCUUAACCGGAGAAGUGCAUUUGAAACUGGGAGACUUGAGUGCAGAAGAGGGGAGUAGAACUCCAUGUGUAGCGGUGAAAUGCGUAGAUAUAUGGAGGAACACCGGUGGCGAAGGCGGCUCUCUGG
rnacentral:rRNA from 1 species